rnacentral:rRNA from 1 species
CCUACGGGAGGCAGCAGUGAGGAAUAUUGGUCAAUGGUCGGGAGACUGAACCAGCCAAGCCGCGUGAGGGAUGAAGGUACAGAGUAUCGUAAACCUCUUUUGCACGGGGAUAACACCCUCCACUUGUGGAGGUCUGCAGGUACCGUGCGAAUAAGGGCCGGCUAAUUCCGUGCCAGCAGCCGCGGUAAUACGGAAGGCCCGAGCGUUAUCCGGAUUCAUUGGGCUUAAAGGGAGCGUAGGCGGGCGUUCAAGUCAGCUGUAAAAUCGCGCGGCUCAACCGCGCCCCGCAGUUGAAACUGGACGCCUUGAGUUCACAACAGGCAGGCGGAAUUCGUGGUGUAGCGGUGAAAUGCAUAGAUAUGACGAAGAACCCCGAUUGCGAAGGCAGCUUGCUGCAGCGGAACUGACGCUGAUGCUCGAAAGCGCGGGUAUCGAACAGGAUUAGAUACCCCUGUAGUC